rnacentral:rRNA from 1 species
UACGUAGGGUGCAAGCGUUUGUCCGGAAUUAUUGGGCGUAAAGAGCUCGUAGGCGGUUUGUCGCGUCUGCUGUGAAAACCCGAGGCUCAACCUCGGGCCUGCAGUGGGUACGGGCAGACUAGAGUGGCGGUAGGGGAGAUUGGAAUUCCUGGUGUAGCGGUGGAAUGCGCAGAUAUCAGGAGGAACACCAAUGGCGAAGGCAGAUCUCUGGGCCGUAACUGACGCUGAGGAGCGAAAGCAUGGGGAGCGAACAGG